rnacentral:rRNA from 1 species
CCUACGGGGGGCAGCAGUGAGGAAUAUUGGUCAAUGGCCGUAAGGCUGAACCAGCCAAGUCGCGUGAAGGAAGAAGGAUCUAUGGUUUGUAAACUUCUUUUAUAGGGGAAUAAAGGUAUCCACGUGUGGCUAUUUGCGUGUACCCUAUGAAUAAGCAUCGGCUAACUCCGUGCCAGCAGCCGCGGUAAUACGGAGGAUGCGAGCGUUAUCCGGAUUUAUUGGGUUUAAAGGGUGCGUAGGUUGGUUUUUAAGUCAGCGGUGAAAGUUUGUGGCUCAACCAUAAAAUUGCCGUUGAAACUGGAAGACUUGAGUGUGUUUGAGGUAGGCGGAAUGCGUGGUGUAGCGGUGAAAUGCAUAGAUAUCACGCAGAACUCCGAUUGCGAAGGCAGCUUACUAAGCCAUAACUGACACUGAAGCACGAAAGCGUGGGGAUCAAACAGGAUUAGAUACCCCUGUAGUC